rnacentral:rRNA from 1 species
AGUCGAGCGGAGAUGAGGUGCUUGCACCUUAUCUUAGCGGCGGACGGGUGAGUAAUGCUUAGGAAUCUGCCUAUUAGUGGGGGACAACAUUCCGAAAGGAAUGCUAAUACCGCAUACGCCCUACGGGGGAAAGCAGGGGAUCUUCGGACCUUGCGCUAAUAGAUGAGCCUAAGUCGGAUUAGCUAGUUGGUGGGGUAAAGGCCUACCAAGGCGACGAUCUGUAGCGGGUCUGAGAGGAUGAUCCGCCACACUGGGACUGAGACACGGCCCAGACUCCUACGGGAGGCAGCAGUGGGGAAUAUUGGACAAUGGGCGGAAGCCUGAUCCAGCCAUGCCGCGUGUGUGAAGAAGGCCUUUUGGUUGUAAAGCACUUUAAGCGAGGAGGAGGCUACUUAGAUUAAUACUCUAGGAUAGUGGACGUUACUCGCAGAAUAAGCACCGGCUAACUCUGUGCCAGCAGCCGCGGUAAUACAGAGGGUGCGAGCGUUAAUCGGAUUUACUGGGCGUAAAGCGUGCGUAGGCGGCUGAUUAAGUCGGAUGUGAAAUCCCUGAGCUUAACUUAGGAAUUGCAUUCGAUACUGGUCAGCUAGAGUAUGGGAGAGGAUGGUAGAAUUCCAGGUGUAGCGGUGAAAUGCGUAGAGAUCUGGAGGAAUACCGAUGGCGAAGGCAGCCAUCUGGCCUAAUACUGACGCUGAGGUACGAAAGCAUGGGGAGCAAACAGGAUUAGAUACCCUGGUAGUCCAUGCCGUAAACGAUGUCUACUAGCCGUUGGGGCCUUUGAGGCUUUAGUGGCGCAGCUAACGCGAUAAGUAGACCGCCUGGGGAGUACGGUCGCAAGACUAAAACUCAAAUGAAUUGACGGGGGCCCGCACAAGCGGUGGAGCAUGUGGUUUAAUUCGAUGCAACGCG